rnacentral:rRNA from 1 species
GGUUCGAGUAUGAAUGAAGUUUUGGUAAUUUUUUUUAUUAAUUUUAUAAUGAAUUUUUUUUGUAAAUAAAAAAUUUUGUUUUUAUUUUUGCAAAGAUAAGUCUUCGUAAAUUCUUUUUAAUUUUUUUUUUUUAAAAAAAAAUUAAAGUUUUCUAGGGUAGAAUUUUUUGUAUGUAUAUUUUUCUAUUAUUAGUUUAGAGAAUUACUUCGGAGUUAACAGAAAUUCAUAUUUUAUCUAGUUCUUAUAGUAAAGUAAGUUUUACAUCGGUGUUGUAUUUAUAUUGUUUGGGAGGUAGAAUGUUCAAUAUUUAAGACUGUUCUUCUUUUUAGUAUAACGUGAUAUUAGUUUAAUUCAUCGUGAGAUAGAAUUGUUUAUCUUGAAAAAUAAUUUUUUUUUUUUAGGUUUUUAGUACGAAAGGAAAAAUAGUUGAAGUUAAAAACUUUAUGAUGUACGG